GCCGGGAUGGCCCAAUGGUAAGGCGCAAGGUUGCUAACCUUGUUUCCGCAAGGAUUUCUGGGUUCGAAUCCCAGUCCCGGCG
rnacentral:tRNA from 1 species